UCUGAUCCGGCUGCUCCCGUUUUUUCCCGGCAGUCGGGGGCCAGCGCCGGGGCUACGACAACCGCGUGUACGGGCAGCAGCAGUACUGGGGACAGCCCGGCAACCGCGGGGGGUACCGGAACUUCUACGACCGUUACCGGGGUUACGACGAUCGGUUCUACGGCCGCGACUACAACUACGACAGAUACCGGGACUACUACCGGCAGUACAACCGCGAGUGGCAGAACUACUACCAGGACAGAGACCGGUACUACAGGAACUACUACGGCUACCAGGGGUACCGGUGAACCCCGGCCCGCGGGCGGCACUUCCCAAACACUUCCGAGGAAAUCCGGGAAUGAGGGGGGGGGGGGAGGGCGGGAGGGACCUG